GGGCCGGACAGUCGCGGGCGCAGCGCCGAAAGGCCGCGCGUGAGGAAAGUCCGGGCUCCGCAGGGCAAGGAUAACGGGUAACGCCCGCCCAGAGCGAUCUGAGGAAAAGUGCAACAGAGAGAUACCACCGGAGCUGUCCGCAGUUCCGGAAAGGGUGGAAAGGCGAGGUAAGAGCUCACCCGAUGGCGCGUGAAAGUGUCCAUCGCUGUAAACUCUAUCCGGAGCAACACCGCAGAGGAGACAAGGCUGGCCCGGCUGUCUCCGAGAAGGUGGCUGGAGCGUAUCGGCAACGGUACGCCUAGAUAGAUGACUGUCAAAACAGAACCCGGCUUACAGGCCCGAUC
rnacentral:RNase_P_RNA from 1 species